rnacentral:rRNA from 1 species
GAUCCUGGCUCAGAUUGAACGCUGGCGGAAUGCUUUACACAUGCAAGUCGAACGGCAGCACGGACUUCGGUCUGGUGGCGAGUGGCGAACGGGUGAGUAACAUAUCGGAACGUAUCCAAUAAUGGGGGAUAACUAAUCGAAAGGUUGGCUAAUACCGCAUACGCCCUGAGGGGGAAAGCGGGGGGACCGUAAGGCCUCGCGCGAUUAGAGCGGCCGAUAUCUGAUUAGCUUGUUGGUGGGGUAAAAGCCCACCAAGGCGACGAUCAGUAGCUGGUCUGAGAGGACGAUCAGCCACACUGGGACUGAGACACGGCCCAGACUCCUACGGGAGGCAGCAGUGGGGAAUUUUGGACAAUGGGGGCAACCCUGAUCCAGCAAUGCCGCGUGAGUGAAGAAGGCCUUCGGGUUGUAAAGCUCUUUUGUCAGGGAAGAAACAGCAGCUCUAACACAGUCUGCGAAUGACGGUACCUGAAGAAUAAGCACCGGCUAACUACGUG